CAGCAGCCGCGGGAAUACGAAGGGUGCAAGCGUUACUCGGAAUUACUGGGCGUAAAGCGUGCGUAGGUGGUGGUUUAAGUCCGUUGUGAAAGCCCUGGGCUCAACCUGGGAAUUGCAGUGGAUACUGGGUCACUAGAGUGUGGUAGAGGAUAGUGGAAUUUCCGGUGUAGCAGUGAAAUGCGUAGAGAUCGGAAGGAACAUCUGUGGCGAAGGCGACUAUCUGGGCCAACACUGACACUGAGGCACGAAAGCGUGGGGAGCAAACAGGAUUAGAUACCUCCGUAGUCCCUGUCUCUUAUAC
rnacentral:rRNA from 1 species